rnacentral:rRNA from 1 species
GAUGAACGCUGGCGGCGUGCCUAAUACAUGCAAGUCGAGCGAACGGACGAGAAGCUUGCUUCUCUGAUGUUAGCGGCGGACGGGUGAGUAACACGUGGAUAACCUACCUAUAAGACUGGGAUAACUUCGGGAAACCGGAGCUAAUACCGGAUAAUAUUUUGAACCGCAUGGUUCAAAAGUGAAAGACGGUCUUGCUGUCACUUAUAGAUGGAUCCGCGCUGCAUUAGCUAGUUGGUAAGGUAACGGCUUACCAAGGCAACGAUGCAUAGCCGACCUGAGAGGGGGAUCGGCCACACUGGAACUGAGACACGGUCCAGACUCCUACGGGAGGCAGCAGUAGGGAAUCUUCCGCAAUGGGCGAAAGCCUGACGGAGCAACGCCGCGUGAGUGAUGAAGGUCUUCGGAUCGUAAAACUCUGUUAUUAGUGAAGAACAUAUGUGUAAGUAACUGUGCACAUCUUGACGGUACCUAAUCAGAAAGCCACGGCUAACUACGUG